rnacentral:rRNA from 1 species
GACGAACGCUGGCGGCGUGCUUAACACAUGCAAGUCGAACGGUAAGGCCCUUCGGGGUACACGAGUGGCGAACGGGUGAGUAACACGUGGGUGAUCUGCCCUGCACUUCGGGAUAAGCCUGGGAAACUGGGUCUAAUACCGGAUAGGACCACUGCCUGCAUGGGUGGUGGUGGAAAGUUUUUGCGGUGUGGGAUGGGCCCGUGGCCUAUCAGCUUGUUGGUGGGAUGAUGGCCUACCAAGGCGACGACGGGUAGCCGGCCUGAGAGGGUGACCGGCCACACUGGGACUGAGAUACGGCCCAGACUCCUACGGGAGGCAGCAGUGGGGAAUAUUGCACAAUGGGCGCAAGCCUGAUGCAGCGACGCCGCGUGAGGGAUGACGGCCUUCGGGUUGUAAACCUCUUUCAGCACCGACGAAGCGCAAGUGACGGUAGGUGCAGAAGAAGGACCGGCCAACUACGUGCCAGCCGCCGCCGUAA